CUGGAGAGAAAAUAUUUAUUUAAAAUCACGUUAAAUCCGAUUAUUUAAAAGCCAUCCGACAUAUAUUAUAUGAAAAUCAUCAAUUUGGAAGCCAUAAAAAGAGAUAUGUAGGAGAUACGACGGGUCAAGCGACGGGUCAAGCUGUGUAUCUUUCCCAAUAUACCACUUUGAAAAAUCAUUAUAAACCACACCAUACAAACAACGUUACGUGGAAGUCAACAUUCAUCGAUACCCUCACAUACCACCAACUUUAGUCAUCUAAACGCAU
rnacentral:lncRNA from 1 species